GGGGUUUUUGAAGAGAAAAUGCAUGAUCUUCGUUUACAUGUGAGAUUGAUGUAGAGGAAAUGCGUGAUUUUUGGGUUCAAAGGGGGAUUCUCGUAGCGAAAUUGUUUGCUUUGGGGCUCAACUGGUGGAUUUUUGAAGAGAAAAAGCGUGAUUUUCAGGUUAAAUGGGGGAUUCUUGUAGCGAAAGCGUUUGAUUUGGGGGUGAAAUGAGGGAUUUUUGAAGAGAAAAUGAGUGAUUUUCAAGUUAAAGGGUGAUUUUCCAAGAGAAAAUGCGUGAUUUUGGGUUUAAUGGGGGAUUCUCGAAGAGAAAAUGCCUGAUUUUUGGGUUAAUGGGGUAAUUUUUGAAGGAAAAUGUAUGAUGUUGGGGGUAAAUGGGAGAUUUCCGAAGAGAAAUUGCGUUUUUAUCAGGUUAAAUGGGGGAUUCUCGAAGAGAAAAUGCAUGGUUUUUGGAUUAAAUGAGGGAUUUUUGAAAAGAAAAUGCAUGACUUUCGGGUUAGAUCAGGGAUUCUUGAAGAGAAAAUGCAUCAUUUUCGGGUGACAUGGGGGAUUUCCGAAGAGAAAUGGCGUUUUUUCGGGUUAAGUGGGGUUUUUGAAGAGAAAAUGCAUGAUCUUCGUUUACAUGUGAGAUUGAUGUAGAGGAAAUGCGUGAUUUUUGGGUUCAAAGGGGGAUUCUCGUAGCGAAAGUGUUUGCUUUGGGGCUCAACUGGUGGAUUUU
ensembl:lncRNA